GGCUGCGACCACAUCGCGAAGAAAACACUGUUUCCCGUCCGAUCAACGUUAGUUAACCUUCGCAGAGCUGUACUGAGUAGUGUAGUGGGAGACCAUAUGCGAAAUUACAGUGUUGCAGUCUCUU
rnacentral:rRNA from 1 species